AAUCUACUUCAUUGCCCUCAUCCUCCACAGGCAGAGAUUCCCCUUUCAGGAGGUCAGAUAGAUCAAGAGAGUCAUUCAGGCCAUUCUGGAGACACCAUGGCACCUUUUCCUCCAGCAGGAACUCAUUCUUGCCACUGAAGCACAAAGUGCUUCCUCACAGAGAAAUUGAAGAUAUCCUGAAAGAAAUGUCCUACACACCUUUUCAAGAGCACGGUGAUUAUUUUCUGAGAUACUGGGAUGCUAGCAAUGAGUGGAGCAGACAACGUAUUUGUCAGGUGUUGAUCAGAAAUAUCAGGAGGGACUUUCUGACUUUCUGUAAGCUGGAAGACCUGGAGAGCUUGGAGCUGAGAGCAAGAAAACUCAUCCAGCACAACAGCUCAGCUUCUAACCAAGACCUUUGCAUUCAGAAGGAGAAACUAUAUUGCUGGAUUCUGGCAGCGAUGUUUGUUCAUGUUUCCACAACAAACAACGUGAAACUUAAAGCUCUGCUGAGGGGAAUGGUCUUUGUAAAACACACUGUUCCUUCAGGGGAGAGAAAUUAUGAGUAUCUGUGCAUUAGUGCCUACCAAAAAAUCAGAGCAGCCAUCUCCAUUGCUGUAAAGAAGCAAAGGCACUGGCCAAAUUUCAUAGAAACAUAUCUGAAGCACUUGGAAACUUUNNNNNNNNNNNNNNNNNNNNNNNNNNNNNNNNNNNNNNNNNNNNNNNNNNUUCCAGUCCAUCCAGAAGCAGCUCCAGAGAGUACCCUGGAUGAUAAGACAUGUCUUUACUCUUGUUAUUACUGAAAAGGUGUUUGAAGCCAAACUGCUUGCAGUUAGCCAGUCCUUCCUCCUCUAUGUGUGCACAAAGUUGGGGAAAAAUCACUGGGAGAUUUUAUUGGAAAUCACUGAGCGCAUCACCGAACAUAUCCAAGCCAGCCACACACAAGGGGCAGUAACAGAGUGCCUGGAUCUUCUCCAAAGCCUAUGGGAAUGGUGCAUAAGAACUGCCACCAAAGAGAAGAAGCCUUUGGUAAUGACCAUCCUCAAUCAUUUCUUCCAAAAGUUGCUUUACCACCCACUGAGUGAAGUAAGACACUGCAUCGCACUACUGCUCUUUAGUGAGAAUGGUGCAUGCAUGCAUGUUACUGAGCUGGGAAACAAAAUGAUUCCAGCUGAUCCUAGCCACGUUGAGGCAGCUCUCCAAGAUUAUCUGAAGCUCACCUUCCCCGAUUUAGCCCUCAAGGGACAGCUGAAGGCAAAUGACAAUAGCAUGAUCGUGCAAGGAGUCAUACCUGCAGGCAAUGUGAAGAUCUGCAUAGCGAAACAACAGACCCUGAAUGACAUCUUGCAGACGAACACCACCAACAGUGACUGUGAAAGGUUUCAAGAAGUGAUCAGAAUAGUGGUUCUGUGUGCAGAUAGGGAGUCCAUUGCCAAGCUGCAAAUGUCCAGUGCCUAUGGAGUGCCUCCUUUGUACAUGUUGGAAGAUGGGAACCCACUCUUGGCUUUCCUGCAGGAAAAGAGAAAUAAGCUCACCCUAUCCAAUAUGUUAGGCAUUUUAAAGGACAUUGCCAGAGCUGUCUGGUCCUGUCACCAGAAAAGGGUAUUACUUUGCGACGUCACACCAGCCAGCUUCAUCGUGUUCACAGGUGGUGGACAAGGAACAAGAGCUCUUCAGAUUCGGGCUAAGCUGUCUAAUUUCCUCCAGGCCAGGCUGGCUCCUUCAGAGGAUGAGAAAGAUUAUUCUGCUAGUGAUUUUCCUUAUGAAAACAUCAAAUACUCACAGGUCACAGGGGACAGUAAGGAACCACUGUCCAUAUACUUCAGUGCUCCUGAGUCCCUGAAGUAUCAUAUCUUCUCUGCUUUCUCUGACGCAUGGGCCAUUGCUGCGACAUUUUACUCCAUUCUCCUGUAUGGUGGGCAGACAUACUUUGAACUCAGGCACUUGCCUGUGUCCAGGUUCAUAGAAGAGAUGUGCAGUGGGCACAGAGCACAAAGACCAGACUCAAUUCCCCUGAAGCUGUGGGACAUGAUAGCCCCUAACUUGGAGCAUAAUGAGACAGAGCGUACAUCCAUGGAGGCAUUGGUAGAGCACUUGAAAAACUACCGUAGUACCCUGGCUUCAGGAUCCAUUUCAAGAGACAUCCCAGUAGGGUCGGGUCUGGACAAGCGGCAUGAGAUAACGAGUCAGUUCUCUCCCAUCUGCGAGGAAGAUAUCAUAAGGGGCUACGUUGACAGCAAAGGCAACUUCAAAGAGAGUGAUCCACCAAAUGUAUUUCCAGGCACGUGCGAAGACAGUGUUGAGUGGAAGAUCUCCCAGCCUCUCGGUGGCCACAGGACGUCCCUAAUGCAGGUUGCUGCAAGUCCUAGCAUGGACGAUGGCAAGCUUCUCGCUUGCCUGGAGCAGGUUGCUUCUGCCAUGGCAUAUCUUCAUUCCAGAAGGAUCAUACACUGCGACCUGCAGUGCAAUUACAUUUACAUUGAUUCUGGUUACGAUUGCCCAGAGGUGAUGGCAAAAGUUGGUCGGUGGGGAAGAGCAGUCUGUCUGCCACAUCCAGGGACAGAUGACAACCUCUUUGAGCCCUGUGUGCGCAAAGUUAUGCCAGCUGAUGCAGCCAAGUGGUAAGUGCAUUGUUACUUUUUACUCCCCCUUUCUUUUCUGCUCCUUUUUCCCACCACAAACUCCGUCCCGUUCACUCACAUCUUUAACCACCACCUUGUUUCACAACAUCCAUGUUCUCCUUAUGGAUCCUGUGGAAAAUGGGGAAAAGGCAGAGUUUUUCUUUUAAGUGUUCUUCAUGUUCUACCUUGUGUGAGGCCAAACAGCAGCUCUUUUGUUUCAGGUAAGCUUUCUUCUGGCUUUUUGUCCUGGCAAAAAUUGAAUACUCCCAAAACUUAAUGAGGGAAAAAUUGCUGUUGUGGCUUGUGCCCCCUUUCCCUUUGAUAGCUUAGCUAUGUGUUGUUCCACGAUGCACCAUUGCUCCCCAUUCCUCUUCUCUUACUUAGUCACUUAGCUGUAGCCACUAAUACAAAGCGUGAACUCAAGUCUCUUGAUCCACAGUGACAUGGACCCCUCUGCUUUGCCUUGCUCCCCAGCUCUCUAGUAUAUAGAAACAUAUUAGACUAAUAA
ensembl:lncRNA